rnacentral:rRNA from 1 species
AGGAAGAAGCUUGCUUCUUUGCUGACGAGUGGCGGACGGGUGAGUAAUGUCUGGGAAACUGCCUGAUGGAGGGGGAUAACUACUGGAAACGGUAGCUAAUACCGCAUAACGUCGCAAGACCAAAGAGGGGGACCUUCGGGCCUCUUGCCAUCGGAUGUGCCCAGAUGGGAUUAGCUAGUAGGUGGGGUAACGGCUCACCUAGGCGACGAUCCCUAGCUGGUCUGAGAGGAUGACCAGCCACACUGGAACUGAGACACGGUCCAGACUCCUACGGGAGGCAGCAGUGGGGAAUAUUGCACAAUGGGCGCAAGCCUGAUGCAGCCAUGCCGCGUGUAUGAAGAAGGCCUUCGGGUUGUAAAGUACUUUCAGCGGGGAGGAA